AAGCUGCCAGCAUGAUCUGAGGUGUCCACAGCAUAUAUAUGGAAGCAGCUAGCGAUCAGAUCAUGCUGUGCAGUUUCAUCUGCUCGUGGACGCACACGAGAUGCUGUGCCUAGCUGGGACGUGGUUGAUUAGUUCAAGGGGUUUUGCAUGCGGUGGUCGAUCUGAUUUGAUACAAAGCUGCUGGGAGGAUAUAUAUUCAGUCGACAAGAGUGGAUACCUCUGACCAUGCAUUAUAUUGGGCAGCAACAAUGGAUUAAUUCAAGGAGUUUUUUCUUUCUUUCUUUCCAACAAUCUCACCAUGAAUUGAAGAAAUUCAAUACAGUUAUACACCACA
rnacentral:precursor_RNA from 1 species